ACCGACAGUCAUUCAUUUGUGUGACAUUUCAUGCUGUUUUUUUUGCACAGGCCAAAAUGGAUAGUAAGAAGAAAGAUGACAGCCAACAAGCAUUCAGUGAUGAUCCUUAAUCCAGCUUUCAUGAGGUACGUUCAUUACAUGUGGCUGGAAAAGCAGGGCUAUUACCCCUCCACUGGCUUUCUGGCUUUGGUUCUUGCCCUGCACAUUUGUGACGAGGUCAGUGUGUUUGGCUAUGGCGCAGACAGCGAUGAAACUGGAGUCAUUACUGGGAAAAACUCAUGGACAAAAAGUUAAAAACUGGAAGUCAUCCUGGAACAAAAGAGUAUGGAAUAAUCCAGGAGCUAGAUGAGAAACAUAAACUCAAGUUUUAUACAGGGUUCUGAUCUUUCUCUUAGCAUUUAAAGGAAGGUUAGUAGUGGGUUACAGUAGAAGAACAUGAAG